rnacentral:rRNA from 1 species
AGACGGAGGGGGCUAGCGUUGUUCGGAAUUACUGGGCGUAAAGAGCUCGUAGGCGGCUUGGCAAGUCGGUCGUGAAAGUCCGAGGCUCAACCUCGGAAUGCCGGUCGAAACUGCCAUGGCUAGGGUUCGGUAGAGGAGAGUGGAAUUCUCGGUGUAGCGGUGAAAUGCGCAGAUAUCGAGAGGAACACCAGUAGCGAAGGCGGCUCUCUGGGCCGAUACCGACGCUGAGGAGCGAAAGCGUGGGGAGCAAACAGGAUUAGAAACCCCAGUAGUCC